rnacentral:rRNA from 1 species
CCAGUUGAUAAUAACAAAAAUAUCUGAAAGAUGAAGAUACCUGUUAAGAAUAAAAUCUUUGCGUGGUAUCUUCGUCGUGGAGCCAUUCUUACUAAAGACAGCCUUAUUAAGAGAAAUUGGCAUGGAAGUUCGCAAUGUGUCUUUGUUAACCAUGAUGAGACAAUAAAACAUUUAUUCCUCCAAUGCAAAUUGGCUCGUUUUAUAUGGUCAGUCAUCUAG